AAGCAUUUGUCAGUCAUUUGAAGAGCUUAAUCAUAACCACAUAUUCUCUUCUUAUGCAACACCAAAAAUGUAUCCUGUCAUUAUAGAUGCUUUUGAAGAAUAUAGAAUUUACAGACAUAAAGUAAACAUGUUGAGCUGUGUUAUUCCUGAGCUUGAUGAAGGAAAUAUCUGUCCUACUUGUCCCAAAACUGAUGGUGUGAUCUUUGAGUCUCUUGAUGCUCUAUUUAUUGGACGAAGGAAAAAGCUGGGCAGAGUCUUGGAAAACCUCUAUUUGGACAACUGAUGUUGUAUGAUCAGAAACAUGUUGAUCAAUUUGUUGCCAAUUAUACCACACCUACAUCAAACAAGGUCAAUGUAGCUUUAAUAUACUUUGUUAUUCUAAUGAAAAUUCAGGCAUGGAAGUUACAGUGCUUUGAAUAUAUUUGAUUUUUUACAUUCUCUACCACAUAGUUUUUAUUUUCAAUAAAUUUGUGCCAUGGGCUUUAGGAAAUAAAGCUCUUGUAUACUUUUUUGUUUGUUACAUAUUGAU